UUUCUAUCACUUGAAUCUGGGACUGUAUCAUCCACAAUUUCUGAAGAUGCAUUAACCCUUGGAAAGAACCUGGCCGGAUGGCAGUCAGCUUACACUUCUGUCCCAUGGCUCUGGAGAAACCUGUGGCUGUAGUGUUAGAUGUUACUGCUCCCACCCCUCUAUCACUUCCCUCUGCCAACACCUGCACUCCUGAACAUCAGCUUCAUACUCACAAGGUCACUUAUCGCUUCAGAGGUGCUGAACAGGAUGUAUGGAGAAACACUCUAACCACUAUAAUUCAAGUUCGCUUGCAAAAGUCCAACUGCAGUAAAACUACAUUCAAAAG